GCCUCGUUGGCUGAGAGAGCGUCUGUUUCGAAAACAGAAGGCGGGUGGUUCGAUUCCAGCACGAGGCA
rnacentral:tRNA from 1 species